rnacentral:lncRNA from 1 species
ACGAAAUGCCUGGAGCACCAUCAUCGUCCAAUUGCAAGCAAAGUUUUCAAAGGCAUGUUUCUGUCAGACUUGGAUUCGCCUGUGCUGCGCAGCCUGCGCUAAGGCCUAAGGCUGAUGCCUGUGUGUGUCUUUCAUCAUUUUUUGCGUCCGUAAUGGUGAUGUGGUAGUGGUACACAGCUGCCCAUAUUUGAAGAAUUCCAAGGGCUAAACUAUGGAGGCAGAUUACGUUUAGGCAUUUGUCCUUAAGCUAUAUUGCUCCUGUUAUUUUAUUCUGGGGACUGUUGUUCAUUUCCCGAACACCGUGACGUUCACUGGAGAUUGUACUCUGCUUAGAAAUCGGCAGCUAAGCAAUCUGUAGGGCAUGAUAUGUUUUCUUUAGAUCAAUAUAAGCUUUUCUCCCUGUUUCAUUUUAUUUAAAUCAACAAUGCUUUUCUGCAGAUGGACUAGUCCAGACUUUGUGUAUAUCAAUCUCCUUGCAUGUAUUUAUAAGAAUAUUGUUUUGUUGUAAGUUGUAAAUACAAUGCUAGAGAAAUAUUAUGGAUAAUUUUUUUUUGUUGAU